rnacentral:rRNA from 1 species
UGAACGCUGGCGGCAUGCCUUACACAUGCAAGUCGAACGGCAGCACGGGUGCUUGCACCUGGUGGCGAGUGGCGAACGGGUGAGUAAUACAUCGGAACGUACCUUAUCGUGGGGGAUAACGCAGCGAAAGCUGUGCUAAUACCGCAUACGCCCUGAGGGGGAAAGCGGGGGAUCGCAAGACCUCGCGCGAUUAGAGCGGCCGAUGCCUGAUUAGCUUGUUGGUGGGGUAAAAGCCCACCAAGGCGACGAUCAGUAGCUGGUCUGAGAGGACGAUCAGCCACACUGGGACUGAGACACGGCCCAGACUCCUACGGGAGGCAGCAGUGGGGAAUUUUGGACAAUGGGGGCAACCCUGAUCCAGCAAUGCCGCGUGAGUGAAGAAGGCCUUCGGGUUGUAAAGCUCUUUUGUCAGGGAAGAAACACCGGCUCUAACACAGUCCGGGAAUGACGGUACCUGAAGAAUAAGCACCGGCUAACUACGUGCCAGCAGCCGCGGUAAUACGUAGGGUGCGAGCGUUAAUCGGAAUUACUGGGCGUAAAGCGUGCGCAGGCGGUUAUACAAGACAGGCGUGAAAUCCCCGGGCUUAACCUGGGAAUGGCGCCUGUGACUGUAUAGCUAGAGUGUGUCAGAGGGGGGUAGAAUUCCACGUGUAGCAGUGAAAUGCGUAGAUAUGUGGAGGAAUACCAAUGGCGAAGGCAGCCCCCUGGGAUAACACUGACGCUCAUGCACGAAAGCGUGGGGAGCAAACAGGAUUAGAUACCCUGGUAGUCCACGCCCUAAACGAUGCUGACUAGUUGUUCGGGAUUUACAUCCUGAGUAACGUAGCUAACGCGUGAAGUCAGCCGCCUGGGGAGUACGGUCGCAAGAUUA